CAAGAAGUUCGGAAGGAGAACCCCGUCCA
rnacentral:piRNA from 1 species